rnacentral:rRNA from 1 species
AGCGAACGCUGGCGGCAGGCCUAACACAUGCAAGUCGAACGGAUCCUUCGGGAUUAGUGGCGGACGGGUGAGUAACACGUGGGAACGUGCCCUUUGGUUCGGAACAACUCAGGGAAACUUGAGCUAAUACCGGAUGUGCCCUUCGGGGGAAAGAUUUAUCGCCAUUGGAGCGGCCCGCGUCUGAUUAGCUAGUUGGUGAGGUAAAGGCUCACCAAGGCGACGAUCAGUAGCUGGUCUGAGAGGAUGAUCAGCCACAUUGGGACUGAGACACGGCCCAAACUCCUACGGGAGGCAGCAGUGGGGAAUCUUGCGCAAUGGGCGAAAGCCUGACGCAGCCAUGCCGCGUGAAUGAUGAAGGUCUUAGGAUUGUAAAAUUCUUUCACCGGGGACGAUAAUGACGGUACCCGGAGAAGAAGCCCCGGCUAACUUCGUGCCAGCAGCCGCGGUAAUACGAAGGGGGCUAGCGUUGCUCGGAAUUACUGGGCGUAAAGGGAGCGUAGGCGGACUGUUAAGUUAGAGGUGAAAGCCCAGGGCUCAACCUUGGAAUUGCCUUUGAUACUGGCAGUCUUGAGUACGGAAGAGGUAUGUGGAACUCCGAGUGUAGAGGUGAAAUUCGUAGAUAUUCGGAAGAACACCAGUGGCGAAGGCGACAUACUGGUCCGUUACUGACGCUGAGGCUCGAAAGCGUGGGGAGCAAACAGGAUUA